UGGGUUGUGCCUCAGUGGUAGCGUGCUCACCUAGCAUGUGUGAGGCCCUGGGUACGAUUCUCAGCACCUCAU
rnacentral:tRNA from 1 species